rnacentral:rRNA from 1 species
CUACGGGACGCUGCAGUGAGGAAUAUUGGUCAAUGGACGCAAGUCUGAACCAGCCAUGUCGCGUGAAGGAUGACUGCCCUAUGGGUUGUAAACUUCUUUUAUAUGGGAAGAAUAUGAUUACGAGUAAUCAAAUGCCGGUACCAUAUGAAUAAGCAUCGGCUAACUCCGUGCCAGCAGCCGCGGUAAUACGGAGGAUGCAAGCGUUAUCCGGAUUUAUUGGGUUUAAAGGGUGUGUAGGUGGGCCUUUAAGUCAGUGGUGAAAUCCUGCAGCUCAACUGUAGAACUGCCAUUGAAACUGAAGGUCUUGAGUAUAGACGAGGUAGGCGGAAUGAGUUAUGUAGCGGUGAAAUGCAUAGAUAUAACUCAGAACACCGAUUGCGAAGGCAGCUUACUAGACUAUUACUGACACUGAUGCACGAAAGCGUGGGUAGCGAACAGGAUUAGAUACCCUCGUAGUC